rnacentral:lncRNA from 1 species
AGCUAAUACAGCUUGAUAAUGAGGGAGCCAGAUCCACUGCCAGUGCUAAUGUUAUAUGAUAAACAGACAUUUGGAGAAAUAUGCAGAACAUCUUGGCAGUUUUCCGUUAACUCUAAGGGUUGUAAAUACUAAGUAGAAUGUGUUAUCAUGAGCCAUUUCAAAGGAAGUUGACUUUAUUUUUUUUUUAGAAUUUCUGACUUUUAUUCUAAAAAGGUAACUUUGUCUCUUGAUUCUCAUUUUUUCCCUAACUUAGGCAAGUGGAAGCUGUUCCCAACGGUAUCCAAGCCCUUGCCGAAUACAUCUUGUUCUCCACACGUCCAGUGUGAGGUAAGUUUUACUAAUUGCCACAGGUUCUUAUGCUGAUCUCCA